GAGGGCCACCCUGUGCCCCAAGAUGAUCCACCCCUUGGUGCCAGUUACCACCCAUUUCCUGAUCUUUUUCCACAGGAUCUGGAACUCCAGAAGGUCCAGUUUGCCCGAGCCAUCUUUCUGGAGGAAAAGGGACCGUAAACCCCUGACCCCAUCCCUUCAUCCCAUCAGCCGCCUCUCUGCAGCCUCAGACCUGGGCUCUCUCACCUCACCGGCCACCGAUUCAAAUAGACUGAGGAUGCUCUGGUCCAUGUCCUGCUCCAAGACAAUCUCCUGGGGGGUGGGGCGUGAAGUCCAGAUUCUGUGCACACACACCCCGGGUCCCUCCAUCCCCGGCCAGGCCAGGCCUCCCUCACCUCCUGGAGAUGCUCAGCGUAGUUGACUUCAUCCAGCUCCCUGAGUGAAGGGGAUGAAGGCUUCCGGUUAUGAGGGCUGGGGAACGGGGAUGCCUUGGGUGGUCCCGGGGUCACAUCGCAUCAGACACUCUGGGAUCUGGGGUCUAGUCCUGGCUCUAGUGCUACUCCUAACUGGGACCUCAUCUUUCAUGUCUUAGGCUCCCCAAGCGUGAGUAGGGACCCCAAGGAGGAGGGGCAUGUGACAGCCCUCAGCACGGAGUCCUGCAGCUGUGGGGGGGGACCUGUCAUCCUCACCAGGACUCGCUGUGUUUCUCCGUGAAGACUCGAAGCAGGAAGUCAGCGUUCUGGUGCGGCUCGAAGGUGGAGGGGACAAUGAUGUACUCGCCCGGCGACAGCCGCAGCUGGUUGUGCACCUCCCUUGCGGUGGUGAAGAUCUCAGAAAAGCCGAGGUCUGGGUACCGCGCGAAGAAGUCUUUCCUUAGGUGGCCGUGCUGAAGCCUCUGAAACUGCGGGCCCCGCAGUGGGCACGGGCCCCGGACAGGGCCUCGGGGAGCAGCUGGCUGGCCUGGACCCCAUCCUCGGGACAGGCAGCUCCGGGGUGGUCCCUUCCUCCUCAAGCCCCACCAGGUCCCCAGGGUGCUGGACUCCCAAGCCAGUGCUCCCCGUGCUCGAGGCCAGAUCCCAUCCCUGACAUCCAUACGAAGUUGGGGUGAACUGGGCAUUGCCUAGGAGGACACCCUGGGUCCUGGUCUCCUGUACCUCCUUGGGAACCUGGGGGACAAGCGAGAGCAGGGUCAGACCUCGUGGGUGUGGGAGCAGGGCACGCACAGUGGGUGUGUGCGACAGUGUUGGGGUGCGUUCACAGGCACUGGGGUGAUGGUGCUGGGUGGGACGCGGGUCUGAUAGCACCGAGGAGCCGGCAGCUUCAGACAGCAAAAUACAGUUUCCUCAGAGCUUUGACAAGCAGAUCUUUAUCGGCCAGGCUAAGGACAGGAAACUCAGUCCCCAGAAGCGCGGUGAUUUGUUGACCUCACACUGAUAAAAGUGAAAGAGCUAGGGGAAAAAAAUCUAACAGAGGCUUUUCCGGGAAUCUAUUCCAAGGAACACUCAUUUCCUGCAGGAAGCAGACAGGAGAUCAUUGAAAUCGAGGACUAAGGGUAAACAAGGAUGUGUGUUUGCUUUUUAUGAUGGGGUCUUACAGUUUGCCUAGGCUGGCCUUAAACUUGUGGGUUCAAUCGCCCCUCCAGGCCUCCACUUCCAAAGUGCUGGGACUACAGAUGUGCAAGAUCUUGCCCAACACCAAGUGAGCUUUGGUGAGUUAAAAGCAGCAUGUCACAGCACACACUCAUAAUCCCAGCACUCCGGGAGGCUGAGGCAGGAGGAUCACCAUUGAUUUCAUUGCUAGCAUGGGCAAUAGAAUGAGGUCCUGCCUCAAAAAACUGAACCAAGAAAAGAAGAAGAAAGAAGAAGAAGAAGGAGAAGGAGAAGGAGAAGAAGGAAAAGGAGAAGGAGAAGAAGAAGAAGAGAAGAAGAAGAAGAAGAAGAAGAAGAAGAAGAAGAAGAAGAAGAAGAAGAAAAGAAGAAGAAGAGGAGAAGGAGGAGGAGGAGGAGGAGGAGGAGGAGGAGGAGAAGAAGAAGAAGAAGAAGAAGAAGAAGAAGAAGAAGAAGAAGAAGAAGAAGAAGAAGAAGAAGAAGAAGAAGAAAAGAAGAAGAAGAAAAGAAGAAGAAGGAGGAGGAGGAGGAGGAGGAGGAGGAGCAGCGAGAUCUGAAUUCGUGGUUUCCUCUGCUUGGCCGGGUGAUACGAUGCAUCAGGGAAGGUCCAGCAGUAAGUGCUCAUCUGUGCUAGGCAGGCAGAGGUGCAUGCGCUUCAAAAGAAGUCUUUUUAAAAUCCCCUAACUCUUGUAGCACUGGGUUAUGAUGGCCAUAACCUUGGACCCGAGCCUCAAGGUCCUCUUGGAUCUGUGAAUUCUGCAGGUGCAGCCUUGGAGCUCAGGGCUUGGGUCUGCUGGGUUGAUUCUGCUGUGCUCACACCUCCAGGCAUGGCUCUUUCUGCUGUGCCCGGGAUGGGAGAGGGACCUCGAACACAGUAGGUGAUCCAUAAAUACUUAAUGUAGCUAGAUGUGGGUGAUCAGAUGGCUGGUUCUGGGAUUUGCAAAGCACCAUGCAUCCUGGGAAAUCUGUUGGAAUUUCUUUAGGUCCCUGGACAGAGGGCCACAGGGAAGGUGGCGGAGGGCGGGGAUCCUUGUUGGGGGAGGUGACAAUUGUGCCAAGUCUGGGACUAGGGCAUGGGCCCCGCUCUUGACCCUUGGAUAUGUGUGUGGCUGUGACUUGAGCCUUCUGGCUCCCAAACUCCUUCCUCUUUUUCAAAAGCAUGGGUGCCACAAGGAUGUGAGAUGACAUAUGUCACAGAGGAAAUGCCGCCCAGCUAGGGCAGUGGAAGGAAAGGACCAGGCCGAAGCCGGGGAGAAGGUCGGAGGUUAUGGCCAAGCGAGGGCAGGGGAGGUGUGCGGUGCCCACCGGGAAGAUGACGAAGCCGAUGGUCAGCAGCGUGGCCCCGUGUGGCUGGCCAAGCCUCCAGUUCUUCUGCAUCAGAGCCACCACGCAGCCCCCCGCAGUGCUGCCCCUCCGCCAGCUGCCCUCAUAGAAGGUGACGUGCCAGUGCCUCGUGGUGUCCCCGGCCAGG